CCGAUGAACGACGCCAUCGCCUGAGACUCCAGCAACACCGAUAAACGACGUCAUUGCCUCCGACUCCAUCAACACCGAUGAACGACAAGACAAAGCCACAAGUCAUUUUUUGAGAAGUCAGAUUUAUUUUUUGUGUGCAUGAUGCAACACCUCUCCUUUGAUAUCCAAAAGCAGGAUCAAGAGAUAGAAGCAGCCCAGUGGAUGGCAUUUGAGGAAUAUGCAGCCCAACAAUUUGUCCAGAAAAACGAAUUUGGCUACUGAGAUGUUUAAUGAGUGGAUGGAGGGAUAAUUUUUCUACUGAGAUGUUUAAUGAGUGGAUGGCAAAUAGAGCAACAUAACAUAAGUAUUUGUUGAUUAUUUGAAUGCACUCAAAAAAAAUUUCGUGUUAUU